rnacentral:lncRNA from 1 species
GGUGAGCUGCAGCGACUCGCCUGAAAUAAGGCACGUUGGCGAUGGGUCCCACCGGGAAUCUCUUGUGAACCAGUCCAUCGUGGACAAACAUGUAGGCCAUUCCAAACACAGUAAUGCCGAGGCCCUGUUGCAAUUACGAGAUGAUCGUGGGGGUAAUUUAGUCACUUCGCAUAAUAAAGAAAGAUUAAGUUUAAUUAUUAAUUUAGAAAAGGAUAAUAAAGAAUGAUUAAAUCAUUAACCGUUAAUUAAGCGGUUAAUAUAAAAUUCAUAAAAAAAGGAGAAUAAGAGACUUACAGCGCCGAAACAGAGGCCGGGAACGAGGCCUUUGUUGAAGAAGCCGUAGGAGAGAAGAGCGAUAGCAGGAACUGCGUUGGUUAUGGCGAAAACAUCGUUUAACUCGAAUGGACCUUCUCUUGGUCUAUGGUGAGAC